rnacentral:rRNA from 1 species
GGUUGUCGUCAGCUCGUGUCGUGAGAUAUUGGGUUAAGUCCCGCAACGAGCGCAACCCUCGACCUUAGUUGCCAGCAUUCAGUUGGGCACUCUAAGGUGACUGCCGGCUAAAAGUCGGAGGAAGGUGGGGAUGACGUCAAAUCAUUAUGCCCCUUAUGACCUGGGCUACACACGUGCUACAAUGGGCGGUACAAAGGGUCGCGAACCCGCGAGGGGAGCCAAUCCCAAAAAGCCGCUCCCAGUUCGGAUUGCAGGCUGCAACUCGCCUGCACUGAAGCCGGAAUCGCUAGUAAUCGCGGAUCAGCACUGCCGCGGUGAAAUACGUUCCCGGGCCUU